AGUGAACGCUGGCGGUAGGCCUAACACAUGCAAGUCGAACGGCAGCACAGUAAGAGCUUGCUCUUACGGGUGGCGAGUGGCGGACGGGUGAGGAAUACAUCGGAAUCUACUUUUUCGUGGGGGAUAACGUAGGGAAACUUACUCUAAUACCGCAUACGACCUACGGGUGAAAGCAGUGGAUCUUCGCACCUUGCGCGAUUGAAUUAGCCGAUGUCGGAUUAGCUAGUUGGCGGGGUAAAGGCCCACCAAGGCGACGAUCCGUAGCUGGUCUGAGAGGAUGAUCAGCCACACUGGAACUGAGACACGGUCCAGACUCCUACGGGAGGCAGCAGUGGGGAAUAUUGGACAAUGGGCGCAAGCCUGAUACAGCCAUACCGAGUGGGUGAAGAAGGCCUUCGGGUUGUAAAGCCCUUUUGUUGGGAAAGAAAAGCAGCAGGUUAAUACCCCGCUGUUCUGACGGUACCCAAAGAAUAAGCACCGGCUAACUUCGUG
rnacentral:rRNA from 1 species